rnacentral:precursor_RNA from 12 species
GUUUGAUUGUCUGUUGUGAGCUUAAUCCUAUAUUCCUUAAGUAGACAAAGAUGAUUCUUUCCCAGUUUUGCCUGCUUAAGGGAUAGAGGAAUAGGCUCUAAGUCUGAAGUGUUUAGU